rnacentral:rRNA from 1 species
GAUGAACGCUGGCGGCGUGCCUAAUACAUGCGAGUCGAGCGAACAGAUGAGGCGCUUGCUCCUCUGACGUUAGCGGCGGACGGGUGAGUAACACGUGGAUAACCUCCCUAUAAGACUGGGAUAACUUCGGGAAACCGGCGCUAAUACCGGAUAAUAUCUUGAACCGCAUGGUUCAAUAGUGAAAGACGGUUUUGCUGUCACUUAUAGAUGGAUCCCCGCCGCAUUAGCUAGUUGGUAAGGUACCGGCUUACCAAGGCGACGAUGCGUAGCCGACCUGAGAGGGUGAUCGGCCACACGGGAACUGAGACACGGUCCAUACGCCUACGGGAGGCAGCAGUAGGGAAUCUGCCGCAGUGGGCGAAAGCCUGACGGAGCAACGCCGCGUGAGUGAUGAAGGUCUUCGGAUCGUAAAACUCUGUUAUGAGGGAAGAACAAAUGUGUAAGUAACUAUGCACGGCUUGACGGUACCUAAUCAGAAAGCAACGGCUAACUACGUG